UCGUUUAAGUGAAUAGCUAUCUUGCUGCGUGGGGGGCCAAACGAUAGAAACGGGAAGGCUCUGAAUGAAGGCUCUCGUGGGGAAGGAAGACUCUCUAAGCACCAACGCCUAUGAAUCUGUCUUCCUUCGCCGUCACCAGUUUGCCGUCAUCCAAUUGAUCCAACCAUCUCAGAACCUCGAAGCCUUGAAUCAAUGAUAACAUUGUGAAUGAAAACGAUGAUGACAAUGUUGGCGGAGAUGAUGCUAAUGGGAAUGGUGAUUUAUCAAAUAUGAUGUUGGAUGCACCAGACUCUCCAGUCAAAUUUGAAUCCCGUAGGCAUUCCUGUUAACCAACUGAAGGAGAAGAUGGAUGGGUCCCAAGUUUCAAGCAGAAGAAAUAGGGGAAAAAGAAAUUAGGUUGAAACAAUGAAUUAGUUGCGGUCAGACUCCCUUUCUGUGUAUCUUAUAUGAUUUUCUCCCACAAAUUCAGUAUCGAUUGUGAGAUAUUAUUCGCAAAAUUUUGGUUUGCCA